UACAGAGGGUGCGAGCGUUGUUCGGAAUUACUGAGCGUAAAGCGCGCGCAGGCGGCUCUUUAAGUCUCAUGGUCAAAUGCCGGGGCUCAACCCCGAGCGUGCCGGGGAUACUGGAGGGCUGGAGACAGGUAGAGGCAAGCGGAAUUCCGGGUGUAGCGGUGGAAUGCGUAGAGAUCCGGAAGAACACCGGAGGCGAAGGCGGCUUGCUGGACCUGGUCUGACGCUGAGGCGCGAAAGCGUGGGGAGCGAACAGG
rnacentral:rRNA from 1 species